UACGUAGGGGGCUAGCGUUGUCCGGAAUCAUUGGGCGUAAAGCGCGUGUAGGCGGUCCGGUAAGUCCGCUGUGAAAGUCGGGGGCUCAACCCUCGGAUGCCGGUGGAUACUGUCGGGCUUGAGUACGGAAGAGGCGAGUGGAAUUCCUGGUGUAGCGGUGAAAUGCGCAGAUAUCAGGAGGAACACCUAUGGCGAAGGCAGCUCGCUGGGACGUUACUGACGCUGAGACGCGAAAGCGUGGGGAGCAAACAGG
rnacentral:rRNA from 1 species